GAGAAGUUGGAAGAUGAGGAAGGGCCUCGAGAGGAAGGUUGGAUUAGUGGGAUGUUCGAUUUCUCUGAAUAAGGUUGGUUGCUUAUUCAAAAAAGGAAUCACGACUAUAUACCAGAUACAUGAUACACAUCUGCACCCUACUACCCUCUGUAGUAUGGUAUGUAUACUGUUGUAAAUAUAACAUUCUUGCUGUUUCUGGAGAAGGGUUGAUAUAAGAAGAUGAAUUUUGGGA